rnacentral:rRNA from 1 species
AGAGACAGCAGUAGCCACGGUAACACGGAGGGAGCUAGCGUUGUUCGGAAUUACUGGGCGUAAAGCGCACGUAGGCGGCUUUGUAAGUUAGAGGUGAAAGCCUGGAGCUCAACUCCAGAAUUGCCUUUAAGACUGCAUCGCUUGAAUCCAGGAGAGGUGAGUGGAAUUCCGAGUGUAGAGGUGAAAUUCGUAGAUAUUCGGAAGAACACCAGUGGCGAAGGCGGCUCACUGGACUGGUAUUGACGCUGAGGUGCGAAAGCGUGGGGAGCAAACAGGAUUAGAUACCCCCGUAGUCCCUGUCUCUUAUAC